UGUUUUGUACAACACACUAGUUUCACUGAAUCUGUUGCUCUAAAAUUAACAGAGCUAAGACUGCAAAUGUGACAAGUUUUGUAUUUCUGUCACUACGGUCAAGUUGUUCUAUUGACACAUGAGAGUGUUCUUCAAGACAAACAGAGUAUUUGGUUUCUAAUGUUUUUCUUUGUUUUGUACAAACUGUUAAGAUAAAGUAGGUACUACAAAGAACAGCUUAUAGAGUUCAGUCCACCUCACUGUGCUUCAGUCACUCCUGCUGGUCAGGCUCCUUGCCAAUCCAGACGGUGACUUCCAAGGAUGGGCCUUUGUCUCCUGAAUUCAGACUGGUGAAAAGAGGUUGGCUAUUCAAUCCUCCUGAUCGCCUUGACUACCAGAGUGGAUUUGUCAAGAUGUAAACUCAGUGAAAGCCUAGUUGCAUAUUUUUCAAUGUACCUGGGAGACAACAAUCCUUCGUUUUGUUCCACAAAUGCAGCUGGUAAUAUAUCAGAAGGAAAUAUUUAAUCUUGAAAGUAGUCAUUUUGAUUGGAAUACAGCAAGCUGCACUCAGAUGCACAAAGCAAACUGAAAUGACAGGUGCGGGUUCAGCAGGGAGCCGGUGAUCCAUCCUUUGGGGGGGAUAGUGAGUCUCACUUCCCCAACCUGGAGUUCCAGUAACUCCACAGGUUCUUCAUGCAGUCAGAGGGGACCACCGGCCACGCUAUUCUUUCGCAGCUCAUGCGCUAUAUCUUGCCUUGAGAAAAAACGUUCUGUCUUCCUCCUUUUUCCUCCCGGGACAUGGCCCUCAUACUCUUAGUCCCAUAACUAACAAAUAUUAGUGUUCUUUCAGAUUUUCUUUUCUUCCCUACGUCAAGGCUUCGUAUGAGCCGUUCUGUCCUCUGAGGGUCGAACCCGGUUGGUAACUGGGACCCAGUCACGAAGCAACGCCUAUAAUGACUCUCUGAGAAGUCAGAGGACUGUGUUUUCAGGGGCCGGAGGCCGAUAGGGCUAGCCUUGACUCCAUAGGGAAGGCUCUCGCGGUCGGAGUCUGGGCCCGUCCUUUUCUUUCUCCCCUAUUCUAGAGGCAGAGCCUCCAAUCCUAAAUUGCAAAAACUCUCCCUUCCUCUCGCAGCCCUGGCUCCCACCCUGUGACCUGUAAUAUAGAAUAUCCCAGCACAUUUUGAGAGAAAUGAGUCUGCACCUUUGUUAAUUACUCAUGACAGCACUUUUUAAAUACCCACAACACUCUUUAAUUAAUAAACCUUCAAAGGAUUAAUUUAUUGUAAUCCCCAUAAUAAUCUUGUGUUGCAGUAGGCUGCUGUUUAUGAGGAGGGGACAACAGUACCAAAACCUGAAAAAUGGAUUACCAGCUGAAUUAACAUAUUGCAGUACUUAACAGACAAUUACUUGUCACAAAUAUCUAAACAAUAUUUACUGAUAAAAAAAUGCUAUCUGAAAAAGCGUUAUUUAGUUAUUGUGCACCAAUUAGUAAACAUGGUCAUGUAGAACCAAUCAUUCUGUUGCUGCCAAGUUUCAGUUAAACAUAAAAAAAAUCAAGGUUCUGGUCUAUGAUAAAUUCACUCAGUAGCAAAGCCUUAUUUGCUAUGGAGUGAAUAUUAAAUAAGGCUACUUUGGCAGACCUGGUUGCCCUUUAUGGGCAGCUGUGUAUUAAAUCCCCUGUUGCUUUUGGAAUACUGUAUAAAUUGUCAACAUCAACACCAAGGCGCCUAACAGAAUAAUGUCACAGGUGAAACCAAAUAGUACAUAUAUUAUUAUCAAUGCAAUCAUUAAAAAUAACUCAACGACCGGAGUCCCUGUGCAAAUAUCUCCCACUACGCAAUAUACCAUGGCCACGGCACACAUUACUUAACUCAUUCAACAAAGGAAAAUGACUGUUACAUUGCAGGUACAGCUUCCCCCUAUGCCAAUCAUCCUAUUCUUCAUGAUUUACUGCUUAGUCAUUGUUUAUAGGCAUGGAACUUUAACAAAACAGAUCUUUGUUUUGUGAAACUUUCCCUAUUUGCCUUCAUUUCAUUAGGUUUAUAUAUGCAAUUUUUGCAUUAAAAUUAUUUUGAGCAUCUCUCCUAUUUCCACUCUUCAAUAGUUAUGCUAACAAUUCUUGAUUUUUGCGAUUGAGCCGACAAGACUGAAACUAUCAAUACUGCGUUUUGACAGGAGCCCAAAAACCUAAGUCUACUCACACAGAAAAUGGCAGAGGUCACACUGAUUGCCCUAUGGAGUUCAGUACAAGACUGGUUCACUGAGCAAGAGCAGAUGGCCACCAGUUUUCCACCUGCAUCACAAAGCAUAUUGCUGCCCUUCGCUGGAUGAGUCAACAACCAAAAGCAGAGGAUUUAUUCCUGGAUUUAUGCCAGUCAUAAUGGGAUACAUUUCUGUUAAUGCAAACUAGGCAAGGUCAUGGUGAUAUACAUCCCUUUAAGGCAUCAAAUUGUCUUUGUCAAUGUCUUUUGGUUACAAUAUUUACUGAAAACAGUACACUUACUCCAUCCUUCAGGACAGGCUCUGCAACUUUAAAUCCCAACCAAAUAAUUUGAAUGUACCAAUCAAGUGUGUUGUUUUGAAAGCCAUAGUCUUAGAAUCUGUCAUUAAUGGCAUCAUGUGUAACUUGACAAUUAACCAAUAUUGAGCAUUUGUCCUUAGCUACAAGCUCAUGUUAGGAAAAUGUACUGGCACAUGCUAACAGUAUUGGACAGAAAUUCAUCUACUGGAUUUAUUUUCACAGGACCAUUAUGAUAUGACACCACUGACCGGGAGUUCUCCAUAAUGUCCCUUCAAUGCAUUUUCUUUAUGCGUGCUUGCCAUGUUUACCACAGUCACCUUCAGUUUGCUGCUUUCAUUAAUUAGAUUGUGUCCACCAGGGCUCUUCAGCUAACUGGAAAACAGUGUAGAGUAGUGGUUAGGGCUCUGGACUCUUGACCGGAGGGUCGUGGGUUCAGUUCCAGGUGGGGGACACUGCUGCUGUACCCUUGAGCAAGGUACUUUACCUAGAUUGCUCCAGUAAAAACCCAAUUGUAUAAAUGGGUAAUUGUAUGUAUAAAUAAUUUGUUAAAAAUAAUGUAAAUGUAUGUAACAAUUGUAAGUCGCCCUGGAUAAGGGCGUCUGCUAAGAAAUACAUAAUAAUAAUAAUAAUAAUAAUAAUAAUCAUUGUAGUGUUAGUACAGAGACAGUAUCAUGUCUGGAAAAGAGGUUGAGCCAAAACAGAGAUAACACUAUGUAACACAAUUUUUGUUCCUGGGUAGUAAGUGUUAUUUCCUAAUUGCU